UUGCGGGUGGAGCAUACGCACUGGCCGCAGCGGAGACUUCCGAGCGGCCCACAGGAGACAAGCAGUGAGGGCAGGUUAGAACCCGGCUUCGAGGACCUUGAACACCGGACUUGGGCGGCUCCAGGUCCUUGGGAGCCGGGGGACAGCAAGGGCGCGGGAUCCGGGCUCAUAGCCCUCCCCGGGCAGUUUGGGUCGGACGCCUGGGUCCUCCAGGCCCCUCCCUCGGGGGGCGGGGCUCGGCGCUCGGACCAAUGACCGGCCGUCCCUGGGGCCCCGCCCCCGCCCCGCCCCCGGAGCCGCGGCCUCGCUGAGUGCCCAACCGCCCGGCGCCCAGGCCUGGGCAGCUCGAGCGCCGAACCUUCAGCUGGACACCAAGAUGCCUGGUGAACAGCAGGCAGAGGAGGAGGAGGAGGAAGAGAUGCAAGAGGAGAUGGUGCUGCUGGUGAAGGGUGAGGAGGAUGAGGGUGAGGAGAAGUAUGAGGUGGUGAAACUCAAGAUUCCCAUGGACAACAAGGAGGUCCCGAGCGAGACGCCGGCGCAGUCCGCCGACCCGGCGCGCCCCCACGCGUGCCCGGACUGCGGCCGCGCCUUCGCGCGCCGCUCCACGCUGGCCAAGCACGCACGCACGCACACGGGCGAACGGCCCUUCGCGUGCACCGAGUGCGGCCGGCGCUUCUCGCAGAAGUCGGCCCUGACCAAACACGGCCGCACGCACACGGGCGAGCGCCCCUACGAGUGCCCAGAGUGCGACAAGCGCUUCUCGGCUGCCUCGAACCUGCGGCAGCACCGGCGGCGCCACACUGGCGAGAAGCCGUACGCAUGCGCGCACUGCGGCCGCCGCUUCGCGCAGAGCUCCAACUACGCACAGCACCUGCGCGUGCACACGGGCGAGAAGCCAUACGCGUGCCCAGACUGCGGACGCGCCUUUGGAGGCAGUUCGUGCCUGGCGCGCCACCGCCGCACGCACACGGGCGAGCGGCCGUACGCAUGCGCCGACUGCGGCACGCGCUUCGCGCAGAGCUCGGCGCUGGCCAAACACCGGCGCGUGCACACGGGCGAGAAGCCGCACCGCUGCGCCGUGUGCGGCCGCCGCUUCGGUCACCGCUCCAACCUAGCGGAGCAUGCGCGUACGCACACGGGCGAGCGGCCGUACCCUUGCGCGGAGUGUGGCCGCCGCUUCCGCCUCAGUUCGCACUUCAUCCGCCACCGUCGCGCGCACAUGCGGCGCCGCCUUUAUAUCUGUGCGGGUUGUGGCCGGGACUUCAAGCUACCCGCAGGUGCCACAGCCGCCACUGCCACUGAGCGCUGCCCCGAGUGCGAGGGCAGCUGAGUCGCUGUUCUGUUGCGGCGGCGGGGCUGCGAGUGCCCGGCAGGGCUGGGGAGCGCUGGUACUUAGACCUGCCUGCAUAAAUCUGGACUCCUGCAGCACGGCACCGGGGCCUGGGAAAUGAAUGCAGUUCCACUGCCACUUUCCCUAAGAAGCCUUCCUUGAUUUCCUCCAGCAAGAAAUGUCUCCCACCUCUCAGCACUUCAUUUUCCCCUGUGAUCCCACCCACUCCUGGAGGACACAGACAUUAUCGGACGCUGAUAUAGCCCAAGGGCUGGGCUAAACGAAGGUUCUGGUAUUACUGACUAGAUGUGCACUGCUGCACCCAUUUUACAGAGGAGAUUAGAAGGCCGGAACCCGAGCCCCGCUGUUAGCCUUCUUCCCAACCACACGGAGGGCCCCUCCCCCGUCUGAGGGAAACAGCGGGAGAUCUCCCCACCCCAGGCUGGGCAAGGACUGCUUACAUAUCU